rnacentral:rRNA from 1 species
AGAACGAACGCUGGCGGCAUGCCUAACACAUGCAAGUCGAACGAAGGCUUCGGCCUUAGUGGCGCACGGGUGCGUAACGCGUGGGAAUCUGCCCUCUGGUACGGAAUAACUCAGGGAAACUUGAGCUAAUACCGUAUAAUGACUUCGGUCCAAAGAUUUAUCGCCUGAGGAUGAGCCCGCGUAGGAUUAGCUAGUUGGUGAGGUAAAAGCUCACCAAGGCGACGAUCCUUAGCUGGUCUGAGAGGAUGAUCAGCCACACUGGGACUGAGACACGGCCCAGACUCCUACGGGAGGCAGCAGUGGGGAAUAUUGGACAAUGGGCGAAAGCCUGAUCCAGCAAUGCCGCGUGAGUGAUGAAGGCCUUAGGGUUGUAAGCUCUUUACCGGGAUGAUAAUGACAGUACCGGGAGAAUAACGCCCCGGCUAACUCCGCGCCAGCAGCCGC